rnacentral:rRNA from 1 species
GGACGGGUGAGGAAUACAUCGGAAUCUACUCUGUCGUGGGGGAUAACGUAGGGAAACUUACGCUAAUACCGCAUACGACCUACGGGUGAAAGCAGGGGACCUUCGGGCCUUGCGCGAUUGAAUGAGCCGAUGUCGGAUUAGCUAGUUGGCGGGGUAAAGGCCCACCAAGGCGACGAUCCGUAGCUGGUCUGAGAGGAUGAUCAGCCACACUGGAACUGAGACACGGUCCAGACUCCUACGGGAGGCAGCAGUGGGGAAUAUUGGACAAUGGGCGCAAGCCUGAUCCAGCCAUACCGCGUGGGUGAAGAAGGCCUUCGGGUUGUAAAGCCCUUUUGUUGGGAAAGAAAUCCAGCUGGCUAAUACCCGGUUGGGAUGACGGUACCCAAAGAAUAAGCACCGGCUAACUUCGUGCCAGCAGCCGCGGUAAUACGAAGGGUGCAAGCGUUACUCGGAAUUACUGGGCGUAAAGCGUGCGUAGGUGGUCGUUUAAGUCCGUUGUGAAAGCCCUGGGCUCAACCUGGGAACUGCAGUGGAUACUGGGCGACUAGAAUGUGGUAGAGGGUAGCGGAAUUCCUGGUGUAGCAGUGAAAUGCGUAGAGAUCAGGAGGAACAUCCAUGGCGAAGGCAG